rnacentral:rRNA from 1 species
UGCCAGCCGCCGCGGUAAUACGAAAGGGGCUAGCGUUGUUCGGAAUUACUGGGCGUAAAGGGCGUGUAGGCGGCUAAUCAAGUCGGGUGUGAAAGCCCUCGGCUCAACCGAGGAAUUGCACCCGAUACUGAUUGGCUAGAGUCCGGGAGGGGGUAGCGGAAUUCCCAGUGUAGCGGUGAAAUGCGUAGAUAUUGGGAAGAACACCAGUGGCGAAGGCGGCUACCUGGACCGGAACUGACGCUGAGGCGCGAAAGCUAGGGGAGCGAAUGGGAUUAGAUA